rnacentral:sRNA from 1 species
GUUGUCAUCGACAACACCCAAUGCAUCCAUGCUCUGAAGGAUGCGCCGAAAGGUGAGCAAACCCAAGUUGCCCAGACCUGAAAUGCAACGCUUUUAGAGCGGUAACCCCCCUGAAUCUUUGAGAGCGGGGAU